rnacentral:tRNA from 1 species
UCCAUGGAGAUCCAGUAGUUAGGACUCAGCUCUUUAACUGCAGGGACCCAGGUUCAAUCCCUGGUCAGGGAA